rnacentral:rRNA from 1 species
GUGAGGAAUAUUGCGCAAUGGGCGAAAGCCUGACGCAGCGACGCCGCGUGGAGGAUGAAGGUCUUCGGAUUGUAAACUUCUGUUAAGUGGGAAGAAAGGGCUGCUUUUAAUAGAAGCAGUUAAUGACGGUACCAUUAAAGAAAGCACCGGCUAAACUCGUGCCAGCAGCCGCGGUAAUACGAGUGGUGCAAGCGUUAUUCGGAAUAAUUGGGCGUACAGGGUGUGUAGGCGGUAUGUUAAGUCUGUUGUUAAAGACUCCGGCCUAACCGGAGACAGGCAGCGGAAACUGGCGUACUAGAGGGUGGAAGAGAGAAGUGGAAUUCUCGGUGUAGCGGUAAAAUGCGUAGAUAUCGAGAGGAACACCGAUGGCGAAGGCAGCUUCUUGGUCCAUACCUGACGCUGAAACACGAAAGCGUGGGGAGCAAACAGGAUUAGAUACCCCUGUAGUCC